GAUGAACGCUGGCGGCGUGCCUAAUACAUGCAAGUCGAACGAACAGAUGAUGAGCUUUUUCCUCUAACGUUAGCGGCGGACGGGCGGGUAACACGUGCAUCAGCUUCCUAUAAUUCGUGGAUAACUUCGGGAAACCGGAUCUAAUACUAGCUCAUAUAUUGUACGGCUUGGUUCAAUAGUGAUUCGCGGCUUUCCUGUCACUUUUAGAUGGUGUCGGGUCGGAUUAGCUAGUUGGUAAGGUAACGGCUUACCAAGGCGACGAUGCGUAGCCGACCUGAGAGGGUGAUCGGCCACACUGGAACUGAGACACGGUCCAGACUCCUACGGGAGGCAGCAGUAGGGAAUAUUCGGCAAUGGGCGAAAGCCUGACGGAGCAACGCCGCGUGAGUGAUGAAGGUCUUCGGAUCGUAAAACUCUGUUGUUAGGGAAGAACAAAUGUGUAAGUAACUAUGCACGUCUUGACGGUACCUAAUCAGAAAGCAACGGCUAACUACGUG
rnacentral:rRNA from 1 species